GAUGAACGCUGGCGGCGUGCUUAACACAUGCAAGUCGAACGGAAAGGCUCCUGCUUGCAGGGGUACUCGAGUGGCGAACGGGUGAGUAACACGUGGGUGAUCUGCCCUGCACUUCGGGAUAAGCCUGGGAAACUGGGUCUAAUACCGGAUAGGACCAUCGUUUAGUGUCGGUGGUGGAAAGUUUUUUCGGUGUGGGAUGAGCUCGCGGCCUAUCAGCUUGUUGGUGGGGUAAUGGCCUACCAAGGCGUCGACGGGUAGCCGGCCUGAGAGGGUGUACGGCCACAUUGGGACUGAGAUACGGCCCAGACUCCUACGGGAGGCAGCAGUGGGGAAUAUUGCACAAUGGGCGCAAGCCUGAUGCAGCGACGCCGCGUGGGGGAUGACGGCCUUCGGGUUGUAAACUCCUUUCGCCAGGGACGAAGCGAAAGUGACGGUACCUGGAGAAGAAGCACCGGCUAACUACGUG
rnacentral:rRNA from 1 species